rnacentral:sRNA from 1 species
UAAAUCAAUUUACAAUUAGGGAUAAAAUGGUCAUUAAAAAUUUAAAGAGGGUAUAAAUGAAAAUAGUAAAUAGAAAAUGGUAGAAUUAAAAAGGGGUAGUGUGAAAAGGGCAUUACAAAGAAUUUUCUAUAUUCAAUUAGUGUUUCUUACCACAUAUUAAAUUGUCAAAUUUUAU